CUGAAUAACUCAGCUGAUCGCAUGGUCCUCGUACCGGCGACGUAUCUUUCAAGUGUCUGCCUUAUCAACUUUCGAUGGUAGUUUACACGCCUACCAUGGUUGUAACGGGUAACGGAGAAUAAGGGUUCGACUCCGGAGAGGGAGCCUGAGAAACGGCUACCACAUCCAAGGAAGGCAGCAGGCGCGCAAAUUACCCACUCUCAGAACGAGGAGGUAGUGACGAAAAAUAACGAGACGGUUCUCUAUGAGGUCCGUCAUCGGAAUGGGUACAAUUUAAACCCUUUAACGAGGAUCUAUUGGAGGGCAAGUCUGGUGCCAGCAGCCGCGGUAAUUCCAGCUCCAAUAGCGUAUAUUAAAGUUGUUGCGGUUAAAAAG
rnacentral:rRNA from 1 species